rnacentral:rRNA from 1 species
GACGAACGCUGGCGGCGUGCUUAACACAUGCAAGUCGAGCGGUAAGGCCCUUUCGGGGGUACACGAGCGGCGAACGGGUGAGUAACACGUGGGUGACCUGCCCUUAGCUCUGGGAUAAGCCUGGGAAACUGGGUCUAAUACCGGAUAUGACUCCAUGACGCAUGUUGUGGGGUGGAAAGCCUUGUGCGGCUAGGGAUGGGCCUGCGGCCUAUCAGCUUGUUGGUGGGGUGAUGGCCUACCAAGGCGACGACGGGUAGCCGGCCUGAGAGGGCGACCGGCCACACUGGGACUGAGACACGGCCCAGACUCCUACGGGAGGCAGCAGUGGGGAAUCUUGCGCAAUGGGCGAAAGCCUGACGCAGCGACGCCGCGU